GAACUUAAGCAUAUCAAUAAGCGGAGGAAAAGAAACUAACAAGGAUUCCCUCAGUAACUGCGAGUGAAGUGGGAAAAGCUCAAAUUUGAAAUCUGGCAGCUCUUUCAGGUUGUCCGAGUUGUAAUCUAGAGAAGCGUUACCUGUGUUGGACCGUGUAAAAGUCUUCUGGAAUGGAGCAUCAUAGAGGGUGAGAAUCCCGUCUUUGACAUGGUCUACCAGCAUGCCAAGGUGCACUCUCAAAGAGUCGAGUUGUUUGGGAAUGCAGCUCAAAAUGGGUGGUAAAUGCCAUCUAAAGCUAAAUAUUGGCGAGAGACCGAUAGCGAACAAGUACCGUGAGGGAAAGAUGAAAAGAACUUUGGAAAGAGAGUUAAACAGUACGUGAAAUUGCUGAAAGGGAAACGCUUAAAGUCAGUCGCAUUAGCUGGAAAUCAGGCUUGCUUUUGCAAGGUGCACUUUCUAGUUGAUGGGUCAGCAUCAAUUUUAAUCGUUGGAUAAAGUCAUUGGGAAUGUGGCAUCUUUGGAUGUGUUAUAGCCCAGUGUUGAAUACAGCGGUCAGGAUUGAGGAAUUCAGCAUGCCUCUAGGGGCCAGGUUUCGACCAUGUUCAUGCUUAGGAUGCUGGCAUAAUGGCUUUAAUCGACCCGUCUUGAAACACGGACCAAGGAGUCUAACAUGCCUGCGAGUGUUUGGGUGAAAAACCCAUACGCACAAUGAAAGUGAAAGUUGAGAUCCUUAGGGAGCAUUGACGCCCGGACCAGACCUUCUGUGACGGAUCCGCGGUAGAGCAUGUAUGUUGGGACCCGAAA
rnacentral:rRNA from 1 species